CUUGACAUACCGAUGACAGGUCUAGAGAUAGAUUUUCCCUUUUAGGGCAUCGGAUACAGGUGGUGCAUGGUUGUCGUCAGCUCGUGUCGUGAGAUGUUGGGUUAAGUCCCGCAACGAGCGCAACCCCUAUUGUUAGUUGCCAUCAUUAAGUUGGGCACUCUAGCGAGACUGCCAGUAAUAAACUGGAGGAAGGUGGGGAUGACGUCAAAUCAUCAUGCCCCUUAUGACCUGGGCUACACACGUGCUACAAUGGGAAGUACAACGAGUUGCGAGGCGGUGACGCCAAGCUAAUCUCUUAAAGCUUCUCUCAGUUCGGAUUGUAGGCUGCAACUCGCCUACAUGAAGUCGGAAUCGCUAGUAAUCGCGGAUCAGCACGCCCGCGGUCGAAUACGUUCCGGGCCUUGUACACACCGCCCGUCACACCACGAGAGUUUGUAACACCCGAAGUCGGUGAGGUAACCGUAAGGAGCCAACCGCCUAAGGUGGGAUAGAUGAUUGGGGUGAAGUCGUAACAAGGUAAGCGUAGAUGA
rnacentral:rRNA from 1 species